AUGCUGCCGUCUGCAGCAUGUGUACUAAAAUUUGAACAAUAUAGAAAAGAUUAGUAUGGCUCCUGUGCAAGGAUGACAUGCAAAUUCAUAAAGCAUUUCAUAUUUUU
ensembl:snRNA U6 U6 spliceosomal RNA